rnacentral:rRNA from 1 species
CUGGCUCAGAUUGAACGCUGGCGGCAUGCCUUACACAUGCAAGUCGAACGGCAGCACGGGGGCAACCCUGGUGGCGAGUGGCGAACGGGUGAGUAAUACAUCGGAACGUGUCCUGUAGUGGGGGAUAGCCCGGCGAAAGCCGGAUUAAUACCGCAUACGAUCUACGGAAGAAAGCGGGGGAUCCUUCGGGACCUCGCGCUAUAGGGGCGGCCGAUGGCAUAUUAGCUAGUUGGUGGGGUAAAGGCCUACCAAGGCGACGAUCUGUAGCUGGUCUGAGAGGACGACCAGCCACACUGGGACUGAGACACGGCCCAGACUCCUACGGGAGGCAGCAGUGGGGAAUUUUGGACAAUGGGGGAAACCCUGAUCCAGCAAUGCCGCGUGUGUGAAGAAGGCCUUCGGGUUGUAAAGCACUUUUGUCCGGAAAGAAAACUUCUGCCCUAAUACGGCGGGAGGAUGACGGUACCGGAAGAAUAAGCACCGGCUAACUACGUGCCAGCAGCCGCGGUAAUACGUAGGGUGCGAGCGUUAAUCGGAAUUACUGGGCGUAAAGCGUGCGCAGGCGGUUCGUUAAGACAGAUGUGAAAUCCCCGGGCUUAACCUGGGAACUGCAUUUGUGACUGGCGAGCUAGAGUAUGGCAGAGGGGGGUAGAAUUCCACGUGUAGCAGUGAAAUGCGUAGAGAUGUAGAGGAAUACCGAUGGCGAAGGCAGCCCCCUGGGCCAAUACUGACGCUCAUGCACGAAAGCGUGGGGAGCAAACAGGAUUA